rnacentral:tRNA from 1 species
GGAGCGGUAUCGAAGCGGUCAUAACGGUCCUGACUCGAAAUCAGGUGUACCUUUACGGGUACCGUGGGUUCGAAUCCCACCCGCUCCGCCA